CACGUAGGCGGCUUGGUUAGUCAGAUGUGAAAGCCCGGGGCUUAACCCCGGAAGUGCAUUUGAUACUGCCAAGCUUGAGUAUGGGAGAGGGAAGUGGAAUUCCUGGUGUAGAGGUGAAAUUCGUAGAUAUCAGGAGGAACACCGGUGGCGAAGGCGACUUCCUGGACCAAUACUGACGCUGAGGUGCGAAGGCGUGGGUAGCAAACA
rnacentral:rRNA from 1 species